rnacentral:tRNA from 1 species
ACCUGGCUGGCUCAGUUGGUAGAGUAUGUGACUCUUGAUCUCAGGGUUGUGAGUUCGAGCCCCACACUGGGUA